rnacentral:rRNA from 1 species
AUCGAACGCUGGCGGCAGGCCUAUCACAUGCAAGUCGAGCGAGCGGCGGACGGGUGAGUAAUGUAUGGGGACUGCCCGAUAGAGGGGGAUAACUACUGGAAACGGUGGCUAAUACCGCUUACUAUCGGAUAACCCAUAUGGGAUUAGCUAGUAGGUGGGGUAAAGGCUCACCUAGGCGACGAUCGCUAGCUGGUCUGAGAGGAUGAUCGGCCACACGGGGACUGAGACACGGCCCAGACUCCUACGGAGGCAGCAGUGGGGAAUAUUGCACAAUGGACGAAAGCCUGAUGCAGCCAGGCCGCGUGUAUGAAGAAGGCGUUAGGGUUGUAAAGUGCUUUCAGCGGGGAGGCGGUACCCGCAGAAGAAGCAACGGCUAACUCCGUGCCAGCAGCCGCGGUAAUAC